AAAACGCUAAUCUUUGAAUAAAACUUAUUCAAGAUCAAUAACUGUAACUGAACUACUUAAAUUCAUUUAUAAAAACAAAGAGUCCACUCACAGAUGGUUCGUGCUCGUUGGACCUCUUGAAGGUCCCUCCUGCUGGUCAACUGGUGCCCGAGUGCCUAAUUCAAUUACCAUAAUAUUAUAUUAGUACAAUACGCAAUAUAGUAUUAAUUUAAAAACACUGACCCCCAGCUCCUAGAAGUACGUGCGUCAGAUUAAAGUUGUUCC
rnacentral:lncRNA from 1 species